AUUCGCUCUUGCGCCUGGACUCUGCGCCUCUCCGCGCGCAGCCCGGACUAGAGCUGAGCGGUAGCGGCAAAGUUUAAACGGAAUGAACGGAAAUCACGCGCGCAAUGUGGGACCACCGCUUGCCGUGUUUAAUCACCGACCCCGACGCCAGCCUCCUCCGUCUGGAGAAAAAACAGAGAGCUGGGGAAUAUGACCAUAACUUACCACUGGAGGAGAGGGGAGGCUAAAUGGAGCUGGCAACUUUAUCUCCCAAUAAAACCAGUAUAAGGUGAGAAAAGAUGUGAAAUGGCAUCAAGGACGUGGAGGAUUGCUUCCUACUGUCAGAAGAAAAGGUGAAGGGCAUCCAGAGAUGACCACUCUAACCUCGUUCCAGACUGUUAGAGUCCAGUAUCUGAGGACACGAGAUCAAGAGCCGAGAGCCAGACUACACAUCAGCCAUUUAUUCGCCUUUAUCUGGACGGACUGAUAGCAUCACCUUUGUCAGAGUUCCUCAGGAUUAUGUGUCCACGUCUCACAUUCUUGCAGCACAAAGCACAAUCCACAUGCACAAUGGGGAAAGUAGACUGACAAAAGAUUGAGGACUGGAGUGUAGGAGGAUGAUUUUACUUUCUCUUGUUUGUGUUUUUAUUUAUUAACCGUUUAAUGUUGAAUCAAAAAUUCCGCCGAUAUGUUUAAACUGUACGAGUUUUUAUUUGUCCAAUAAAUUGCUUAUUUUUCGAAUA
rnacentral:lncRNA from 1 species